CCUCCCCUCCCACCUCCCAUUUCCAUUCCCGAAAGUGCCAGAGAGAGAGCUUGCGCUCUUUAACAUCUCUACUAUAUGAGCAGCAGCACCUGUCCAAUUAGCACAACCUAGCCAUCUUGGCCGAUCCGGAACGGCCGCAGUGCGACGAGGAUGAAGCGGCGGCGGCGAUGGGGGUGGGCGAGGAUGAGGACACCGGUGCCCAGGUUGCCCCCAUCGUCAAGCUCGAGGAGCUCGCCGUUACCACCGGCGAGGACGAGGACGUCCUGCUCGACAUCUCCUUUCUUCAAGUAUUGGAAAUGUAUGUCAGAUAAUGAGGGGCCCAGCAGGCGCAGAGCUACCACCACCUGCCACUGGGUGGCUCCCGCGCAGCGGCAACUGGGUCUCGCCCAGCCUCAAUGCCGAAUGUUGAGAAGUUCGAGAAUCGGCUCAAAAAGCUAAUAACGUUCCUCUGCAAGCAUAAAUAGAGCAAAGUGUUGAUUUUUGUCACCUUGCCUUUUUGCAAUGUUGCAUCUUGUUGGGCCUACCAUGCACAAUCUCAUCUCACAGUUUCAAGUGAAACAAUAUUAUCUCACGGUGCCUAUCAAGGUUCAUUGUGUAUUCAUGAUAUCCUUAGCGUGAACACCUAAAUAGGCACUACAACUGAGAACCAUCUAAAUAAACAAAUUGUGCUUGGUUAUUCAUUGGAGUGAAUUCCUUGGUCAUAUUUCGAAGUAAGAAGGAAAAUCCUCGGAAGAUGCAAAAGUAUAGAAUGCAUUAUGCAAGGUAUAGUAAAACUUCAUAACAUUCUGAAAAACUUAUGUCAUGUUCAUUCCCUUGUCACAAUUAUGCAUCUGACAGUAGUUGUGCAGACUUAUGAAACUCAAAGGAAAAAUUCUCUCUACAGCUAUACUUGAAUUUGUCCUGCAGGUAUAGAGUUAAGCUUUUCCACAAAAGCUUCCAGAUCUGCAUAGCUUCUGACUUCAGGGAACUUCAGGGCUCCAUAGGCAGCAACCAGAAUGGUUAAUUGAGGAUUCGAGAAUUAUCACAAAACAGUCAGUUUGUAAUAUGAAGCGCUCCAUAAGUUUGAAAAACAGCAGCUCAAAUAUUGUCUAAACAACAUGUCUAAACCAGUAUAUAGUGGAGAAAAAACAAGGAUAACCUUUUCUGGUAGAAUUUUACCAUGGAAGAAGUACACGUACCACUAUGUACUCAUUUUUGAAGCCAUCUGGUUUUCUGGAGUAGGUUUUCUUUUUCUACUCGAUAGAAAUUUUGUAAAAAUGCUGCUCCCAAGAGCUCACUCUUAUCUUUCACAUCAACCUUGAAUAAAUGGUAAGGGAAAUUACAGGAUUCGGUGAAUUUGGUAAA